rnacentral:tRNA from 1 species
GAACGUAUGGCUUAGCGGUCAGAGAAUAUGGUCGGUUUCCACGAGGUGCGGGUUCGAGUCCCGCUACGUUCA